AGGCUGAAAAAUGGAUAGUUAACCUGAUACGAAAUGCACGUUUGGAUGCAAAAAUAGAUUCUCAACUGGGGCAUGUCGUGAUGGGAACAAAAAAACUUUCUCCUCAUCAGCAACUUAUUGAAAAAACUAAACAGCUGUUUGGUAAAACAAAUUACUUCUUUGCUAACCUU